AGGGCAUUCGGUGGAUGCCUUGGCGCUAAGAGGCGAUGAAGGACGUGGUACGCUGCGAUAAGCCCUGGGGAGCUGCGAACGAGCUUUGAUCCGGGGAUUUCCGAAUGGGGCAACCCACCUUCAGUGAUCGGUGAUCUGUAUUCAGGCGUUGGAGCGAUCUGAUGUCUGGGUAUGGAUAACCGAUUGCGAUAUGGAGGUAUUUGAUCCUGAAUACAUAGGGGUCAAAGGCGAACCCGGGGAACUGAAACAUCUCAGUACCCGGAGGAAAGGACAUCAACGAGACUCCGUCAGUAGCGGCGAGCGAACGCGGACCAGGCCAAUGCUCACAUUCUUCUCAACCGGAACCGUCUGGAAAGUCGGGCAUGAUGGGUGAUAGCCCCGUACGGGUUCAGGAAGGUGUGGGAUACGAGUAGGGCGGGACACGUGAAAUCCUGUCUGAACAUGGGGGGACCACCCUCCAAGCCUAAGUACUCCUUAGCGACCGAUAGCGAACCAGUACCGUGAGGGAAAGGUGAAAAGCACCCCGACGAGGGGAGUGAAACAGUCCCUGAAACCGGAUGCCUACAAACAGUGGGAGCCCAAGAUUUGUUCUGGGUGACCGCGUACCUUUUGUAUAAUGGGUCAGCGACUUAAAGUAGCGAGCAAGCUUAAGCCGUGAGGUGUAGGCGCAGCGAAAGCGAGUCUGAACAGGGCGUUUCAGUUCGUUGCUUUAGACCCGAAACCGAGUGAUCUAGCCAUGAGCAGGUUGAAGGUGCGGUAACACGCACUGGAGGACCGAACCGGUGUCUGUUGAAAAAGCCUCGGAUGACUUGUGGUUAGGGGUGAAAGGCCAAUCAAACUCGGAGAUAGCUGGUUCUCCGCGAAAGCUAUUUAGGUAGCGCCUCGCGUUUAUGCUCCAGGGGGUAGAGCACUGGAUGGGCUAGGGCUGUCCACAACGGUACCAAACCUAACCAAACUCCGAAUACCUGGAAGACUUGCGCGGGAGACACACGGCGGGUGCUAACGUCCGUCGUGGAGAGGGAAACAACCCUGACCUACAGCUAAGGCCCCCAAUUCGUGGCUAAGUGGGAAAGGAUGUGGGAACCCCAAAACAACCAGGAGGUUGGCUUAGAAGCAGCCAUCCUUUAAAGAAAGCGUAACAGCUCACUGGUCUAAACAAGGGUUCCUGCGCCGACAAUGUAACGGGGCUCAAGCCACGAGCCGAAGCUUAGGAUCCGGUGACCAGUUAUCAGUGAACAGUAACCAGAAUGAACCUUGACAAACGAAGCGGCAAGCGUUGGGACGCGGAAGACCUUGAGGUCUUCCGGCGUGCUUAUGCCUUGUCGUUGGAGCUUCAUGGCGUGAGCCUGGAGUUCCCGAAGAGUGAGCAAUUCGGCGGUCUCGCCGAUCAGAUCAGGCGGUCUUCACGAUCCGUCUGCAGCCUGAUCGUUGAGGGUGCCGGUCGUCAGCAGGCCUCUCCCCGGGAGUUCGGGCGCUAUCUUGUGAUGGCGAUCGGCUCUGCUGAGGAGACGCGGCUCUGGUGUCGAUAUUGCGCGGAUCUCGGGUUUGUUGCGAGCGAUCGUGCGGAUGUCUGGCGCGACGAGUUGCGUCAGAUUGUGCGCAUGUUGCAAGGUUUGAAGAACAGUCUCGCCGACCGGUGACGGUCUCGGGGUGUUCUGGUCACUGAUUACUGAUAACUGGUCACUGGGUGGUAGCGGAGCGUUCCGUAGGCCUGUGAAGGGAUACUCGUGAGAGGUCCUGGAGGUAUCGGAAGUGAGAAUGCUGACAUGAGUAACGACAAACAGCGUGAGAGACGCUGUCGCCGAAAGUCCAAGGGUUCCUGCGUAAAGUUAAUCUGCGCAGGGUUAGCCGGCUCCUAAGGCGAGGCCGAAAGGCGUAGUCGAUGGGAAUGCGGUGAAUAUUCCGCAGCCUGCGGGUGGUGACGGAUCUGAAGUGUUGUGCAUCCUUAUUGGAUUGGGUGUGCUUCUGGAUGGUCCCGGGAAAUAGCCCCCGCGUUAUAGACCGUACCCGAAACCGACACAGGUGGACUAGCAGAGUAUGCUAAGGCGCUUGAGAGAACGAUGCUGAAGGAACUCGGCAAAUUACCUCCGUAACUUCGGGAUAAGGAGGCCCUGUCAUCGGGCAACCGGUGGCGGGGGGCACAGACCAGGGGGUGGCGACUGUUUAGCAAAAACACAGGGCUCUGCGAAAUCGCAAGAUGACGUAUAGGGUCUGACGCCUGCCCGGUGCCGGAAGGUUAAGAGGAGAGGUGAGAGCUUUGAAUCGAAGCCCCGGUAAACGGCGGCCGUAACUAUAACGGUCCUAAGGUAGCGAAAUUCCUUGUCGGGUAAGUUCCGACCUGCACGAAUGGCGUAACGACUUCCCCGCUGUCUCCAGCAUCGACUCAGUGAAAUUGAAUUCCCCGUGAAGAUGCGGGGUUCCUGCGGUCAGACGGAAAGACCCCGUGCACCUUUACUGUAGCUUUGCGCUGGCAUUCGUGUCGGCAUGUGUAGGAUAGGUGGAAGGCUUUGAAGCAUGGGCGCCAGCCUGUGUGGAGCCGUCCUUGAAAUACCACCCUUGGCGACAUGGAUGUCUAACCGCGAUCCGUUAUCCGGGUCCGGGACAGCGCAUGGCAGGCAGUUUGACUGGGGCGGUCGCCUCCCAAAGAGUAACGGAGGCGCGCGACGGUGGGCUCAGACCGGUCGGAAAUCGGUCGUUGCGUGCAAUGGCAUAAGCCUGCCUGACUGCGAGACGGACAUGUCGAGCAGAGACGAAAGUCGGCCAUAGUGAUCCGGUGGUCCCGCGUGGGUGGGCCAUCGCUCAACGGAUAAAAGGUACGCCGGGGAUAACAGGCUGAUGAUCUCCAAGAGUCCAUAUCGACGAGAUCGUUUGGCACCUCGAUGUCGACUCAUCACAUCCUGGGGCUGGAGCAGGUCCCAAGGGUUCGGCUGUUCGCCGAUUAAAGUGGUACGUGAGUUGGGUUCAGAACGUCGUGAGACAGUUCGGUCCCUAUCUGCCGUGGGUGUAGGAGAUUUGAGAGGAUCUGUCCCUAGUACGAGAGGACCGGGAUGGACGUACCUCUGGUGGACCUGUUGUGGCGCCAGCCGCAGUGCAGGGUAGCUAUGUACGGACGGGAUAACCGCUGAAGGCAUCUAAGCGGGAAACCCACCUCGAAACGAGAUCUCCCUUGA
rnacentral:rRNA from 1 species